rnacentral:rRNA from 1 species
UACGUAGGGUGCAAGCGUUAAUCGGAAUUACUGGGCGUAGAGCGUGCGCAGGCGGCUUUGCAAGACAGAUGUGAAAUCCCCGGGCUUAACCUGGGAACUGCAUUUGUGACUGCAUGGCUGGAGUGCGGCAGAGGGGGAUGGAAUUCCGCGUGUAGCAGUGAAAUGCGUAGAUAUGCGGAGGAACACCGAUGGCGAAGGCAAUCCCCUGGGCCUGCACUGACGCUCAUGCACGAAAGCGUGGGGAGCAAGCAGG